rnacentral:rRNA from 1 species
CGUGGGUAACCUGCCCAAGAGACUGGGAUAACACCUGGAAACAGAUGCUAAUACCGGAUAACAACACUAGACGCAUGUCUAGAGUUUAAAAGAUGGUUCUGCUAUCACUCUUGGAUGGACCUGCGGUGCAUUAGCUAGUUGGUAAGGUAACGGCUUACCAAGGCAAUGACGCAUAGCCGAGUUGAGAGACUGAUCGGCCACAUUGGGACUGAGACACGGCCCAAACUCCUACGGGAGGCAGCAG